rnacentral:rRNA from 1 species
GAUGAACGCUGGCGGCGUGCCUAAUACAUGCAAGUCGAGCGAACAGACGAGGAGCUUGCUCCUCUGACGUUAGCGGCGGACGGGUGAGUAACACGUGGAUAACCUACCUAUAAGACUGGGAUAACUUCGGGAAACCGGAGCUAAUACCGGAUAAUAUAUUGAACCGCAUGGUUCAAUAGUGAAAGACGGUUUUGCUGUCACUUAUAGAUGGAUCCGCGCCGCAUUAGCUAGUUGGUAAGGUAACGGCUUACCAAGGCAACGAUGCGUAGCCGACCUGAGAGGGUGAUCGGCCACACUGGAACUGGGACACGGUCCAGACUCCUACGGGAGGCAGCAGUAGGGAAUCUUCCGCAAUGGGCGAAAGCCUGACGGAGCAACGCCGCGUGAGUGAUGAAGGUCUUCGGAUCGUAAAACUCUGUUAUUAGGGAAGAACAAAUGUGUAAGUAACUACGCACGUCUUGACGGUACCUAAUCAGAAAGCCACGGCUAACUACGUG